AUUGAACGCUGGCGGCAGGCCUAACACAUGCAAGUCGAGCGGAUGAAGGGAGCUUGCUCCUGGAUUCAGCGGCGGACGGGUGAGUAAUGCCUAGGAAUCUGCCUGGUCGUGGGGGAUAACGUCCGGAAAUGGGCGCUAAUACCGCAUACGCCCUGCGGGAGAAAGCGGGGGAUCUUCGGAUCUCACGCUAUCAGAUGAGCCUAGGUCGGAUUAGCUAGUUGGUGGGGUAAAGGCCUACCAAGGCGACGAUCCGUAACUGGUCUGAGAGGAUGAUCAGUCACACUGGAACUGAGACACGGUCCAGACUCCUACGGGAGGCAGCAGUGGGGAAUAUUGGACAAUGGGCGAAAGCCUGAUCCAGCCAUGCCGCGUGUGUGAAGAAGGUCUUCGGAUUGUAAAGCACUUUAAGUGGGGAGGAAGGGCAUUAAGUUAAUACCUUGCUGUAUUGACGUUACCAGCAGAAGAAGCACCGGCUAACUUCGUG
rnacentral:rRNA from 1 species